rnacentral:rRNA from 1 species
UACAGAGGGUGCAAGCGUUGUUCGGAAUUACUGGGCGUAAAGGGUGCGUAGGCGGUCAUGCAAGUCAGAUGUGAAAUCCCGGGGCUUACCUCCGGAACUGCAUUUGAAACUGCACGACUAGAGUUCAGUAGAGGCUAGCAGAAUUCCCAGUGUAGAGGUGAAAUUCGUAGAUAUUGGGAGGAAUACCAGAGGCGAAGGCGGCUAGCUGGGCUGACACUGACGCUGAGGCACGAAAGCGUGGGGAUCAAACAGG